CUGGAACUUUUAGCCUCAACAAUUGCAAGAAAAUAAAUUUCUCUGAUAGACACAAGCCAUUCUGGUACCUUGUUAAAGUAGCCUGAGGUGACAAAGACACAGCAUGAACCAAAAAUCUCCAGAGUAUUGGAAGAAGUACCAUUGGAUUCAACAGAACCUGAGAUCCCACAAUCAAAACCACUUCCUGAAGAGAAGAAUCAUUCCUCAAAUGUCACAAGUCCUUAAGUUUGCAAACAAGCAUAGCUGUGAAGUGCUGACUCGUUAAAAAUGAAGGGGAGGAGGCAACAGUUGCCCAGUGUAACUGCUUCCACCUUUUGCUUUUCACCUGCAUUUCCGGUGAGGUCCUUCAGCCACUCAUCCUCUGUCUCUUCAGUGAGACAGAUAUCAGCCUCCCAGCUUUGCAAGUCUCCAUCUGAUAGCCCUGAGAAGAC